rnacentral:rRNA from 1 species
UACAGAGGUCCCAAGCGUUGUUCGGAAUUACUGGGCGUAAAGGGCUCGUAGGUGGCCAACUAAGUCAUACGUGAAAUCCCUCGGCUUAACCGGGGAACUGCGUCUGAUACUGGAUGGCUUGAGGUUGGGAGAGGGAUGCGGAAUUCCAGGUGUAGCGGUGAAAUGCGUAGAUAUCUGGAGGAACACCGGUGGCGAAGGCGGCAUCCUGGACCAAUUCUGACACUGAGGAGCGAAAGCCAGGGGAGCAAACGGG